CACCAUUUUCCAAUCUUUGUUUUUAAAUAGUUAACUAGGAUUAGGGUUUCUCAUAAAUUGUUUUAAAUAAUCCCAGUGGAAAACGACCUUACUUGAGCCAUUUAUACUUAUCACACCCCAGACCUAUGGUAGGUGGAAAAUUUGAUCCCAAGUCCGAAACGCGAACUAAAAACUAAAUAAAUAAAAUGAAACGGAAACGGGUUGGAAAAUAAAAUUUUUCUUAUUUAAAAUAACUCAAUAAUUCUUUACAAGGCUAAAUAAAUAAAUACAAAUUCUAGCCUCACAUCUAUCUUGUCUCAUCCCGUAUACCCUUUUGACAGUUUAGUUAGUAAACCUGCAUAACAAUAAAGGGGUGAGCUUCAACAGUUCAGUAGGGACAUAACCUUACCACAGUAAAAUUGACAAUACUAAAUUACAUGUUAUAAAAUCAUGUAAUACCAAAUCAUUCUCGAUAACAAUGCAUGAAUGCAAUGCAAUACUCUUCAUCUCUGCCCGUUAAUUCAUAUAAUAACACGCAGACCUGCACAUCCCAUACCGUGCAUUUUACCUCUACAGUGGUGGUUCUAAUGUUUUAAUAUACAAAUUAACCCCCUGUAACUCAAUCAUCCCAAUUUCCCCUUUUGUUAGUCAUCUUGCCUAAACUCUUCGUUGCUAGUCCCAAAUUACCCUUAAAGAAUCUGUGCACUGUAGGCUCAUCUGAGACCUGGUACCUGCUAAGAGUUUGGCUCAACUACACAAAAGAUCAUUUCCAACUGCCCUCAUUUCCAGAAUUCCUUCCUCAACAUCGAAACUCCAAUCACAUAACACAUCAUGAAUGAUGCAAAAUUAAUUUCAUUUCAUAGUCCACAUUUAUCACCAAUGAACAACAUUCCAACAACAAUUCACAAUCACAACUCUAUGAACAUUCGAAUCAAGCAAUGAUACACAUAUAACCAAUUAUCAUCCAAUUCCAAUCAAUCAAUCAAUCAAUAUUAACAAGAAUAUAACACUUCACGAAAUUUAAUAAAAUCAAUCUCUGUAAAUGCAUGCCGUAUUUCCCCUACCUGGAUUCCAAAGCAUUGCUCCAAGUGACGUAAUAGUCAAAAAACACCAAUUCAUCUCAUAAUUCCUAUUUACAAGUAUCACGUUAUCAACCUAAGCAUAUUGUAUAACACCUCAAAUUCAAUUAUAGUUAAAGCACAUCGAAAUACUUUAGCCUCAAGUUAUACAAAAGCUUCUGUCCGACUUGUAUAUAUAUGGUUCCAACUCUAAAUGCAUACUUUAUUUCAUCAAGCUAUUCAUAGCGUGUGUGUGUGAUACACGUGUAUUUCCCUUCCAACAAACUGGGCCAAUUCUAAUUUAAUAAAACAACUCAUUCAUUUCCAACAAAUUGCACAUUGUACAUAUAAUCUAAUACAACAUGCUGCUUUGUUUGACACACACAUACAUAGCUAGAGAAAAUCAAAUAUCUAUACAUGUAUAUAGUUUGGAGAUGGAAGUCCUAGCCGUAUACAUAUGCAGAAAAACCAGUUUUGAUAACAGUGGUUAGUCUACAGCAGAAAGUUUAAUACUGUAUAAGAUUAGGAUUCCUUAAAACUAAUAGGAAAUAUACAAAUAGCUAUGAAACUAUACAUGAUAAAAGAAUCUUUACCCAGGUAUGGCAAUCUGUCGAUUGAAUCAAUGACACCAAAGUGAUGAUGUAGACAAAAGCAGGAAUCAAACUCCUGUUCAUUGCUAUAACAAGAAAGAGAUACCAAGAACACCUCUAUCAAUCAAGACGUCGAGAAAUUGGGAGAGGGUUCUAAUAUAAAUCCUCUCAGCAAAACAUUCAGUUCCACCUCUCUUUGUCUCUCUCUCUCCUCGACUCUAUUUGUUGCGUAAGAAAGAACCCUCUACCUAUUUGAUGCUAAACAUACAUAUAGGCAUCAUAUAUUCCAAACUUACACCGCCUGCAACCUCCUAUGUCUUUGGGUCCAAUCAUGACUCGACAUGUGGCUAAAUUGCCACUAACCUAAUCAGAAAAGCCCUUUUGCUGUCUAACUCCAGCUGCUAUCACGUGGAAAAAUCAGCCACACCUUGGCUUACACGUGGCACUUCAUCAUUGGUUCAGCUUGUAAAUUCCAUUAAAAAUUCAUCUAAGCUUUGAAAAAUAAUCCGAAAAAUGAUAUGAACUCGCAAUGACGUUCACUACCUUCAUAUGAAAACCUUUUGAAUAAAUAAGCACAACAUAUUUUUUUCCAAAUAUUUCUCUUAUUUGAUAAUAAAUUCUUGGGAUAGUACAAUACUACAACAACCUUGUUCUCUUGCAAGUAUUUUAAGUGUUUUUAUCUCUACUUUUGUAGGUGGUACGAUCCCUAUCACCUACAACCCAGAAAAGAAAAGGAAAAAAAACCAUUAGGAUGGAAAAGGAUGAGUGCAAGGGUAGGUGCAUUGGGUUUUUUUUUU
rnacentral:lncRNA from 1 species